UGUAUAAUAUCUUGGGGUCUCUCUACCUUAAUAAACUUGCUACUAAGAUAAGAUUAAAGCUUUAUUUUGGUACUGUAAUCACGUUUAUAUUAAUGCAACCUCAUUCAUAAUUCAAAGGAAGAAAAAGGCUUUUGAGUGUUCACUACAGCUCCUUACAGUUCUCAGAUAUCUCCUAGCAACUUGUUUUUCAUAUUUAAUAACGCUGUUUCGAUUACUUGCAGACAUAAAAACACGUGAGUUUUUACAUCAUUCUAGGGUGGCCACAAACUGCCGACUAAAUAAUAUGGACAGCAAAAACCUGGCCAUCUGCUGGUGGCCCACGCUCUUGCCUUUAGAGUUCAGUGACAUGGGAAUGUUCGAAAGAAUGAGGCCACACCUAGAAGAUUUAGUGCAGACAAUGAUCGAUCAGUUUUGUUUCCUGUUCGGUGAAGAGGAGGAAGAGGUAAUGUGACACCGACUGUCGUUAGUCUAAUCAUUUGAUGGACGUAGCCACUUGCGUGGUAGUAUCUGUCGCAAGACAAGAAGAGGGUUUCCCUCACAAGUGUUGUGACAUGGCUUGCCGGAGAUACUGAACAAGCUGCACGAAUGUCGUUGCUAAGCAGACUGUAUUAUUUCAAAAUAUUUGUACAGAAAAGAAACCUUGCUAUGUAGGAGCAAAGUGUCAUAUCAGUAAGUAGUGCUCUCCCUUUGUAUGUAAAAUAUCUCCAGCUUGUAAUCUCUUAUCAUGGUAGAGACUAGUACAGGAUAUUGUCUCUCUCAACAAUGGACAUAAGACAUGUAUUCUUCCACGAAAACCAUGUGCAUUUUUAUCAAUACAUGUAGUAAAUUAUCUCAGUGAUACCAAGCAAUCAUAAUGUAUUUUACUCUAAGCUUGUAACCUUUUCUUUAAAACAAAUACAUAUAUAUUUAUGUAACCGUUUGCAACCUAUAGCAAGAAAAGGUAAAAAAAAAAAUAAUUACUAGCUAUUUCAACACAAUCCUGUAAGCCAUAAAUCUUUAAGUACUCAUUUUGUGUUGUGAUUACUUUAAGAAGGAGAUUUAUGUGCAAACUUAGCAUAAUAUGGUUAUUUUAGAAUGUUUCUAAAACUGUAAAAUGCUCAUUUCUUUUUUGUAAAUAAUUUAUUUAAAUGCCAGUGAUGUUUAUUUGAAGAAAAGGAAUAACUUUUCCCUAGUUUAAACAUACCCUUAAAGAAUGGAUUUCUUUCAAAUAAAUUGAUUGUGUUAGUAACUUUUUAAAACUGAUGUCAUCUUAUGAAAAUUAGUUUAAUUUUUAUUGACGUAGUUGUAAUAAAAAAUAUUACGUGAUAAUUUAAUCUUUUGUUGAAUAAGUAAAUCAAUUUCCUGUUUCACUAAAAAGUCUAUCAAUUCAGUUUGUUUUAAAACUCGUAUCUUUCGUGUGUACGUCUCUCUCUCUUCACAACCUGACACAAGUAUUGCAUCUGAAGAAACAGAUCUAUCUUUACUUUGAUGUACAUUUUGGUACUUGUGAUAAUAUAAUGUAUAUCUCAGUUGUGUACAGAAUUAUUAUUAAAACGUCUUUUAUUGUGUUCUGGCCAAA